rnacentral:rRNA from 1 species
UACGUAGGUGGCAAGCGUUGUCCGGAUUUAUUGGGUUUAAAGGGUGCGUAGGCGGUCUCAUAAGUCAGUGGUGAAAUACGGCAGCUCAACUGUCGAGGUGCCAUUGAUACUGUAGGACUUGAGUACAGACGAGGUAGGCGGAAUUGACGGUGUAGCGGUGAAAUGCUUAGAUAUCGUCAAGAACACCGAUAGCGAAGGCAGCUUACUAGGCUGUAACUGACGCUGAGGCACGAAAGUGUGGGGAUCAAACAGG